rnacentral:rRNA from 1 species
UACGUAGGGUGCAAGCGUUGUUCGGAAUCACUGGGCGUAAAGAGAGCGUAGGCGGGAUCGUAAGUUAGGAGUUUAAUACAUGGGCUUAACCCGUGGUCGGCUUUUAAUACUGCGGUUCUUGAGUGUGGGAGAGGGCGAUGGAAUUCCAGGUGUAGCGGUGGAAUGCGUAGAUAUCUGGAAGAACACCAGUAGCGAAGGCGGUCGCCUGGCCUAACACUGACGCUGAGGCUCGAAAGCUAGGGGAGCAAACAGG